GCCGGGCACGGUGGCUUGUGCCUGUAAUCCAAGCUCCGGGGAGGCUGAGGCUGGCGGAUCGCUGAGCCCGGGGGUUCUGGGCUGCCGUGCGCUGUGCCGAGCGGGCGUCCAAGCUAAGGCCGGCAUCGAUAUGGUGGCCCUGGGGGAGCCGGGGGCCACCAGGUCGCCUAAGGAGGGGUGAACCGGCCCAGGUCGGAGACGGAGCAGGUCAAAGCUCCCGUGGCGGUCAGUAGCGGGACCGCGCCUGUGAACAGAGCCUGCAGCGCAGCCCGGGUGACAGGACGGGACCCAGCCUCUU
ensembl:misc_RNA Metazoa_SRP Metazoan signal recognition particle RNA